rnacentral:tRNA from 1 species
GCGGGAAUAGCUCAGUUGGUAGAACACAACCCUGCCAAGGUUGGGGCCGCGAGUUCGAGUCUCGUUUCCCGCUCCA